UGCAGCUGCGAGAGCGUGGUGGUCCAGUCCCACGGGAGUUCUUGUACUCUUGACCUCAGUUCCUGGCUUUUGCGAGUGUUUGCAAAGGUUGACGGGGUGGCGGCCUGGAUACACCACUCCCACGUGAGACCUGCCAUUAAAGGCGAACAAGAACAGCAGCAGGACCAGUGGAAGGCAACAGCAGACCCAGAAAAUCCGCUAGCGUGUCGACCAAACCGCCGAGGGACCAACGAUGAAGAAACACAGAAUAAAAAUGCUUGUGGUGACUUUCAUAUUUAUAACCCUUAUGGAAAAAACAGUGACUGACUCAAAUCCCCACGUGCCUUAUAACCUUACGUGGGAAAUAACUAACUUAAAGACCCACGAGGUCUAUAACCAGACCUCUAAAACAGCCCCACCAGGCACGUGGUGGCCGGAUAUGUAUUUUAAUCUAGAAAAAGUGGAUGAGUUAGUAGGGGGAGGUUCCAAAAUGGGGAGCCGGCAACGGGCCAACCGGGGGAGACAGGUUCGUAAUAACGGGUUCUUUACAUGCCCGGGGUUCCGAACGGGAGAGAUGCAGCGGGCUUGUGGUGGUAUAGAGAGCUUGUACUGUGCUAAAUGGAGUUGUGUGGAUACUAACGACGGCAACUGGAAAUGGUCGGUAACCCCAGGGCUCAUUGACAUGUCUUUUGUGCGGCCAGGGACGCCUCCUUGCACGUACGGCGAUUGGGGAAAAGGUCCAGAUAGGUCCAACUACGACACUUACCAAACUGACUGCACCCUAGUGAGGGUAUCAUUCACCGAAGCCGGAAAAAAAGAGUCCCGGUGGGUCUCUGGACUGUCCUGGGGAAUUUAUCUCUACCAACGACCAUACCAUGGCACUGUGCUUCAGAUUAAGCUUAAGGUUAGCCCUGUUCCCCAAGUAGCAGGGGGACCCAACCAGGUGCUGGGAGGAGGAGCAAGAGCGGACCUAGGGCAGCCUACCACAAGCCAUAACACAUCCACGAACGUCUCCUUAGCCAUUCAGUCCCCUAUAAACCAUCAAAUAUAAAAUGACCCAGGAGAUUCCUUACAGAAGGUGCUGACUGCAGCAUAUGAGGCAUUGAACCGUGCAGACCCCAACGCCACGGAAGCCUGCUGGUUAUGUUAUGAUAUUAGACCCCCUUUUAGGAAGCGGUAGGGGUAGCCGCCCCCUUUAACCGUUCAGGAGAUGAGACCCCCAAGUCCUGCGCAUGGGACCGUAACGGCCCGGGGCUAAUACUUCAGGCAGUCACCAGAAAGGAACAUGCAUAGCAAAGGUGCCUUCUAGUCAUGCGCAGUUGUGUGCCGAAGUCCACCCGUCUGCAAACCGGACCGGAGGAGCAAAAUGGAUCGUUCCGACGCUCAACGGGUGGUGGAUUUGCUCUAAAACAGGUCUGACUCCAUGUCUUAGCCUGUCUGUUUUUAAUGAAUCAGAGGAAUACUGCAUUAUGGUACUAGUAUUCCCUAAGGUUAUUUACCACCAAGAGAAUACAAUGUAUGAUGCAUGGACAAAGGGCACAGAAGGUACCGGGUUAACUAGAGCCAUAACCUCAGCCACUCUUUAUGGCCUGGGGGCAAUAGGAGCAGGGACAGGUAUCUCGUCCUUGGCAGUGCAACAUAGGGGGUUCAAUCAAUAGCUUAAGGGCUGCCAUAGAUGAAGAUAUAGCCAGAAUCGAGGAGUCCAUCUCCCAUUUAGAAAAAUCCCUAACCUCACUGUCUGAGGUGGUGCUGCAGAACCGAAGGGGGCUGGAUUUAGUAUUCCUCCAGCAGGGGGGGCUAUGUGCGGCCCUACAAGAGGAGUGCUGCUUCUAUGCAGACCAUACUGGGGUAGUUACAGAGUCUAUGGCUAAGGUUAGGGAAGGGACUUGCACGGUGGAGAGGAGAGCGCGAGCAACAACAAGGAUGGUUUGAAUCAUGGUUUAAUAGCUCCCCUUGGUUGACUACAUUGUUGUCCACCCUAUUAGGUCCACUCAUUGUGCCCCUCCUAAUUCUCACUCUGGGGCCAUGUGUCUUCAAUAGGUUAAUAGCUUUCAUUAAGGAACGGAUAAAUACUGUUCAAUUAAUGGUAUUGCGGUAGCAAUAUCAAGGACUAGGACGUGACUGUGUAGAGAUGCAGGAGGUCAGAGACCCCAAGGAUGAGCAAGAAUGCUUGUAAUCAUUCCAAAGAAGGGGGGAAUGCAAGAAAAGUAAGGCUAACGGCUUCUUCUAGCUUCUGUUCCCUAAGCUUGCUUGCUUGCAGUAAAGCUGCAGCGGGUGCUGGGCCCCAAAAGAAUGGUAACUGCAGGUCAUCUCCUGACAAGAGGUUGGAAAGUCCUGGGAUGGGAGCAAACAAAUCAAAUAAAAGGGCAAGACGUGAGCAGUGCAUGAACAGUUUGUGCAAGGUCUGUGUUCCUGGUAUCACAGUACACCAGAAACCGGUGUUAGGCAAUAGCAGCUAGUAUAAAACCCUACCCCAAACCUUCCCGGGGGUCCUUGUCAGAAUAGAGGCCACUGCGCUGGUGCUCUGAAACUCAGACCCUAGCUCGAGCUAGUCAAUAAAACUCCUUUUGGUGAUUUCA